GAUGAACGCUGGCGGCGUGCCUAAUACAUGCAAGUCGAGCGAACGGACGAGAAGCUUGCUUCUCUGAUGUUAGCGGCGGACGGGUGAGUAACACGUGGAUAACCUACCUAUAAGACUGGGAUAACUUCGGGAAACCGGAGCUAAUACCGGAUAAUAUUUUGAACCGCAUGGUUCAAAAGUGAAAGACGGUCUUGCUGUCACUUAUAGAUGGAUCCGCGCUGCAUUAGCUAGUUGGUAAGGUAACGGCUUACCAAGGCAACGAUGCAUAGCCGACCUGAGAGGGUGAUCGGCCACACUGGAACUGAGACACGGUCCAGACUCCUACGGGAGGCAGCAGUAGGGAAUCUUCCGCAAUGGGCGAAAGCCUGACGGAGCAACGCCGCGUGAGUGAUGAAGGUCUUCGGAUCGUAAAACUCUGUUAUUAGGGAAGAACAUAUGUGUAAGUAACUGUGCACAUCUUGACGGUACCUAAUCAGAGAGCCACGGCUAACUACGU
rnacentral:rRNA from 1 species